UCACAUAUUGCUAGCUCCUUAGGUGUAAUGUUGUUUAAAAUAUUUGUCCUGGAGCUCCUUUGCUCCUGUUCUUGGUGUAGAUAAACCAAAACUGCUCCUUUUAGGCCAUCCAAGAGUCUGGAACGACCAACAUUGUAAUUAGCAUAUGUGGACAGUUACGCUACAAUGCCCCCAAUUGUUUUCAAUGAUAACUCUUGCUCCAAAUUUUGCUUUCCGGGAGGUGGUUGAGGUAGAGAUUGUUGUGUUGUGGCAGUGCACGCUACGGUGUCAGGUUGCAUAGGGGCAUGCCCUUUCUCAGUAUUCAAAUAUCAUGUACUAAUUGUGUUUUCACUUUGUAUUGCUUACUCACAGAUGUCAUCGGAAGCGUCAUGGUUAUUUCUUAAGCUCACCAAAUAUUUCUCUUCAUAUUUUAACAUUUCACUUUCUGUCAAUAAGCAUUUAUCUCUAUGCUAACUUGGUGUAAAGUAGCCUUGAUGAUGUGUGGAGGCGGUCUGCUCAGUGACUGUUAGUAAGGUUGAUCAUCGGCAAGCGAAAGUGCUUUGUGGAUGCUUGCACGACCAAGCGGCUUGGGGGGAGGAGUGCGUGUUUUCGAGCCCUUCAAGCUCCCAGAGUGCAAACACCAUGAGAUAGGGAUGUGAAACUGAAGGAAAGAAGGCCCUGACCACUCUCAUCAUUUACUCAAGUAAUAACACCAUCGGCGACAGGAACGACAAGCUGACGCAAGUGAUCUUAGUGUCUCUUAUGAUGUCGUUUUAUGUCUUGGCCUCAAGUUCACAACCAGUUCUUUGUUUGGUGAGAUGUAUGUGUUCUUUCAUGGUUAUUCUCAUUAGGUGGCUGCACUUUGUUUUCUCAAUUUGUGUUCUGAAUUUGAGGUUGCAGAUGCGUGCCUUGAUUGUUUAUAUAAAUGUGUAAGUAGAAAAAUUUCAUGGGCAACAA